AAUCGAGUUACAGGGCGGUUUGACGGACACAGGCACCGUGCAAUAAAUGCUUCAGCUGAAGGGGAGGGCGGCAAUGAAUCGUGACUAAAAUGCCAACGAGGGAGGAGUUCUGUGUUCAGGUUGACUUCAUCCUGACUCCUUGCUGCCACUGUAUUCCACAGUUUAUCACGAAUUCCUGGUAUAAUCUGCAGUCUGAUGUGUAUAUGAAACUAUCUUUUCAACUCUUUAAAAUAUAAACAGAUUGUUGUCAAUAACCUAAAGCUGGAUAUUCAAGAUUACUGUGUAUGACCCUGAAUUUGGUUAUUUCCUUUGGUCGACCCUGACGAUAGUUCCUCCCGUGUUAAUGGAGGACGUGUGCAGAAGGAGCUCUGUAAAGUUUCACUUUUAAAGUCAAUUUACUUGUUCUGUAAACCUUUAGAAUAAUUUCCGUGCACUUCUACAGUGCUCACGGCUCUUCUGUUGAGUGGGGAGAAAGUUUGGUAUUGUGGCUUUUGAGCUCCACCCCGAUUUUGGGAAGCCCUUUAAUCAUUGGCGAGUGAUAUGUUUUAUUCAACUUGCAUUGUGAAACUAUUACAUUUUACUGUUGUCUUUUCAAAA